rfam:Triticum aestivum genome assembly, contig: Triticum_aestivum_CS42_TGACv1_scaffold_322392_4BL
UUUGUACUCCCUCCGUCCCAAAAUUCUUGUCUUAAAUUUGUCUAAAUACGGAUGUAUCUAGUUACAUUUUAGUGUUAGAUACAUCCGUAUCUAAACAAAUGUAAGACAAGAAUUUUGUGAUGGAGGGAAUACUAC